rnacentral:rRNA from 1 species
AUUGAACGCUGGCGGCAGGCCUAACACAUGCAAGUCGGACGGUAGCACAGAGGAGCUUGCUCCUCGGGUGACGAGUGGCGGACGGGUGAGUAAUGUCUGGGGAUCUGCCCGAUAGAGGGGGAUAACCACUGGAAACGGUGGCUAAUACCGCAUAACGUCGCAAGACCAAAGAGGGGGACCUUCGGGCCUCUCACUAUCGGACGAACCCAGAUGGGAUUAGCUAGCAGGCGGGGUAACGGCCCACCUAGGCGACGAUCCCUAGCUGGUCUGAGAGGAUGGCCAGCAACACUGGAACUGAGACACGGUGCAGCGUCCUACGGGAGGCAGUAGUGGGGAAUUUUGAACAGUGGGCGCAAGCCUGAUGCAGCCAUGCCGCGUGUAUGAAGAAGGCGUUCGGGUUGUAAAGUACUUUCAGCGGGGAGGAAGGCGAUGUGGUUAAUAACCGCAUUGAUUGACGUUACCCGCAGAAGAAGCACCGGCUAACUCCGUGCAAGCCGCCGCCGUAA